UCCGGUUAGGCUGGGGUGACGGAGGUCAUUGUCGAUGCCUUACAUGCAGACCAACUUGUGAAUCUGUUCUAAUACGUGGGGGAUGGCCUGGGGUGUUCUACUACUCCCUUGACCAGACCUCUCUUUGGCUGGGAGGGGUUCCACGUUGAGUGUUCCCCUUCUAGCCGAACACAAACCCCGGCGCUGAAUGCGCCAAGGAACAAAACUUGAUCAGUCUGCCCCCCGUAGGCCCGGAGACGGAGCCCCUAUGGGCGGUGUUUUGACGCUUGAUACAUGUGUAUAUACAUAACGACUCUCGGCAACGGAUAUCUAGGCUCUUGCAUCGAUGAAGAACGUAGCGAAAUGCGAUACUUGGUGUGAAUUGCAGAAUCCCGUGAACCAUGGAGUCUUUGAACGCAAGUUGCGCCGGAAGCCAUUAGGUUGAGGGCAGGUUUGCCUGGGCGUCACAUAUCGUUGUUCAUGCCCAGUGCUUAUUGUUUGAUAGGCACUGCGCUGGGGGAAUGCUGGCUUCCCGUGAGCGUUAGAGUUUCAUGGUUGGCUGAAAACCGAGUCCUUGGUAGGGUGUGUGCCAUGAUAGAUGGUGGUUGUGUGACCCACGAGACCGUUCAUGUGCUUUUUUACCAGAUUUUGGAUUCCUUGACCCACGUGCGUCUUAGGACGCUCUGACGAGACCUCAGUCA
rnacentral:rRNA from 1 species